AUCCCAUGGUGAGGGCAUUUUCAUAGUAGCUCUUUAAAUCUUUCCUAUGCCUCGUAUAAGGAUUCAUCAUCCUUAACCAAAAAGCAAUCUGCUAAUUCU
rnacentral:snoRNA from 1 species